AAUCAACGCUGGCGGCGUGCCUCAGACAUGCAAGUCGAACGAUUAAAGCUCUCUUCGGAGAGUGUAUAGAGUGGCGCACGGGUGAGUAACACGUAAGUAAUCUACCUUUGAGUGGGGAAGUAACCCGGGGAAACCCGAGCUAAUACCGCAUAAUGCAGCGGCACCGCAAGGUGACAGUUAGUUAAAGGAGCAAUCCGACUUAAAGAGGAGCUUGCGGCAGAUUAGCAGUUGGUAAGGUAAUGGCUUACCAAGGCUUCGAUCUGUAUCCGGCUGAGGAGGGCGGUCGGACACACUGACACUGAA
rnacentral:rRNA from 1 species